GCUCCGCUCUGGGACUGGCGGCCGGGCGGCGCCGCACCGGGAACCUGGGGUCCCCGGAACUUUGUGCUUAAGUUGCCCCCUUCCUCGGGCCCCAUGUCCGGGUGCACACCGACUUUGCAGAGCCGCCGGCGGGCCAGUCGGUGAAUCGGAGCCUGGCUUUGCGACCGCCGUGGCCGAGGGUCCGUCCCGGGGUUUCCCGGCUGGCCAGCCACAGCCCAGUUUCCGGCAUCAGACUGUUCGCUUCCCUUGACAUUUGUCACCUUUAUGUCCCUCCACCCCCCUCCCCCAGGCUGGACCUCCGGUGACUGGAGACAUCCCAGACCGUAUGGAAAUACCAGAGAGAAAAGUGCCCCCAGAGCUCAGUAAUUGCGGGUUUGUGAUGACUGAUCAUUUUCUCUAAUGCAAUGGCAUGGACCAAAAUGAGAAAUAAAUUUCUGUCGCUGGUUGCAAAGUAAGGAAGAAGCAGGCGACAGAUUAAGGACUGCCAAGGGAAAGAUGGACCCCUGUGAAGAUCUAGAAAUGUCCAGCGGUAAAUCCCACGGCUCCAGGGGGAAUGAACCUAACGAACUAGGAGGACCAGGGGCCAGCAGUGCUGAGACUCUGGGGAAGGACCCUGAGGAGUUGUGGCGCCAGAAAUACCAGCCUCAGAGCAAAUACCUGGAGAGCGGCAACAGUGAACAGCAAGAUCGAAACAGAGUUUCUGAAGAACUUAUAACGGUUGUCCAAGAAAUGAAAAAAUACUUCCCGUCAGAGAAACACAACAAACCAAGCACUCUCGAUGCCCUCAACUAUGCCCUUCGCUGUGUACACAGUGUGCAAGCAAACAGUGAGUUUUUCCAGAUUCUCAGUCAAAAUGGAGCACCUCCAGUAGAUGUGACCGCGUACAGUCUGGAGGAGCUGGCCACUAUUGCUUCAGAGCACACUUCCAAAAACACAGAUACCUUUGUGGCAGUUUUUUCAUUUCUGUCCGGAAGGUUAGUGCACAUUUCUGAACAGGCUACUUCGAUCUUGAAUUGUAAGAAAGACUUCCUGGAGUCCUCUCACUUUGUGGAGCUGCUCGCCCCUCAGGAUGUCAGGGUGUUCUGCACACACACUGCCCACGCUCAGCUUCCCUUCUGGGACAACUGGAUCCGAAGAGCAGCAUCACAGCGCGAAUACCCUCCAGAGAAACCCUUCUUCUGCAGAAUCCGCGGGGGUGAAGACAGAAAGCAGGAGAAGCACUGCUACCCGUUCCGGAUUAUCCCCUACUCGAUUCACGUGCAGAACUCCGCCGGUCGGGAGCCUGAGCCCUGCUGUCUCACCCUUGCAGAGAAGAUUCACUCUGGUUACGAAGCUCCUCGAAUCCCAGUGGAUAAAAGAAUUUUUACCACAACACACACUCCAGGGUGUGUUUUCCUUGAAAUAGAUGAAAGAGCUGUGCCUUUGCUGGGAUACCUGCCUCAGGACCUGGUCGGGAUGUCUGUCUUAACAUAUUUACACCCAGAAGACCGUCCUCUGAUGGUCGCCAUACACCAAAAAGUCUUGAAGUAUGCAGGCCGUCCUCCCUUUGAACAUUCACCCGUUAGAUUUUGUACUCAAAAUGGAGAUUACAUUAGACUGGACUCCAGCUGGUCCAGCUUCGUGAACCCAUGGAGCCGGAAGGUUUCCUUCAUCAUCGGUCGACAUAAAGUUCGAACGAGUCCACUCAAUGAGGAUGUUUUUGCUAACAGAAUAAAAAAGACGAACAAUAUUGACAAAGACAUUACAGAAUUACAAGAACAAAUUCACAAACUUCUCUUACAGCCAGUCCCCAUGAGCGCCUCCAGUGGCUACGGGAGCCUGGGGAGCAGCGGGUCCCAGGAGCAGCAGGUCAGCGUGGCGUCCUCCAGUGAGUCCAGCGGGCACUGCGCAGAGGACGCGCGGAAGGAGCCGCUGACUUUGCAACAGGUCUAUGCCAGCGUAAACAAAAUUAAGAACCUGGGCCAGCAGCUGUACAUUGAAUCGAUGACCAGAUCACCCAGCCAGCAAGCGACGGGGAUGCACGCGGGCCAGCUGGAGGGUAAGCAGAAGGCCUUUUCUUCCUUCCAGACAUUGAAAAAUAAUAGCACAUACACUGAGUCUUACGAGGAUUUGAGAAAAGAGCAGCACAGCCCGUCUUAUCAGCAAAUUAACUGUAUCGACAGUGUUAUCAGAUACCUGAGGAGCUACAGCAUUCCGGCUUUGAAAAGAAAGUGCAUAUCCUGGACAAAUACUACGUCAUCCUCGGAAGAAGACAGGCACAACCACAAGGCAGGUGCCGGCCAAGCCUCGCAAGCUGCAGACCCUCAGAUCCCAGCUGCACCCAAAUCGGAACCACCACCUAACGGACCGCCCCCAGAUGCCAAGGGACGAGCUGCGCCGACGCCGUCCACGGCAGCCCCGAGCCUGGGCUCCGGCGUGAGCCAGUGCAGCUACAGCAGCACCAUUGUGCACGCCCCGCCCCCAGAGUCAGCAGAGUUGACACUCACAGAGGACACCAUCCUAGCCUGUGAGGCCUGGCCACCCAGCGUGCACCCAGCCCCACUGACCCCCGACGAGUUCAGACGUGUGGGGCUCACCAAGGCCGUCCUUUCCGCCCACACCCAGAAGGAAGAACAGAAUUACGUGGAUAAAUUUCGGGAAAAGAUCCUGUCACCACCCUACAGCUCCUACCUUCAGCAAGAAGGCAGAGGCAAAGCUAAAUAUUCAUAUAUUCAAGGGGAGUCCACCUCCAAGCAGAGUCGCUCGGCUGCUGGCAGGAAGGGGAAGCACAAGCGGAAGAAGCUGCUGCCCACGGACAGCUGUAGUGCGCGGGACGCUUGCUGUCCCCACUUGACAGCUCGGGUCCAGGACGCACAGCCCUGGUGGCCUGCUGCCACCCCCGCCCCCGGCCUGUCGUUCCCAGCCGCGGUGCUGGUGCCCAGCCCGGCACCCUGCCUCGUGCCGGCCGCGCCCGCUCUCCCGGCUGCGUACCCGGAGGCCUUUGUGACCGUUUUCUUGCCUGACCCCCCCAUCUGGCCUCUGUUGGCUCCGUCGUGCACCCCAUUCCUGGGAGCGGCGGACUCCUCCAUAACACCCUGCUUGGUGUCGGCAGCAGCCGCGAACCAGGAACCUCCGUUUUCGGUGAUCGACCACAGCAGACCCAGGGGCCCAGAGGAGACCCGGAGUGAGGGGCGCCUGUCCGUCCCCUCAGGGACCAGCUCCCCGCUGCAGCUGAGCUUCCUCGGGGAGGUCGCGCCCGGGGCCCGGGAGCCCGCUGGCCCCCACACACAGUGUCAGUGCGUUACAGGCAACGGUGGGAAGAAGAACUGUGGUUUUACUGCCAGCGACCUGUCCGCAGCGUCACUUCACAAGGAGGCUCCGUGCAGAUCGGGCUCUGCAGCAGCAGGAAGCAGUGACAGCAGUGUAUACUUUACUAGCAGUGAUGAUUCUCCUGACAUCCCCCCAAACGGGCAGCCGUCUCGAGAUGUGCAGGAAACAGCUGCGUUUCCAACGUCAGCUGAAGAGUCCAUCUGGACAAUGAUAAAACAAACACCUGAGUGCAUUCUGAUGACGUAUCAGGUACCCGAGAGGGUUAAAGAAAUUGUCCUGAGAGAAGACCUGGGCAAACUGGACAGCAUGAGGCAGCAGCAGCCGCAGUUUUCCCCUGGACAGAGAGCGGAGCUGGCCGCGGAGCAUCCUUGGCUGCAGAGCCAGACAAUCCCUCCGGAAAUAGACACCCAGGGCUGUGUCACUUGCAAACAGGAGGAUUCCGCUGGCGAGGCUGCGGACCUCUGUGGUCAGGACCCAGCAGGGGACAGCAGCUGAGUGGCUGCACAGACUCGUCAGCGCACCUUCUUGGGGACAGGGGCUGGCUGCACAACCGAGCCUCUCUCCACAUGACUCCCUAAACUCUGACUCUUACAUGACUGUGAAGUUAUCAUUGAAUGUUAAGGUUUUUCCUUCUUGACUUUUUAAUAGACAUCAUUUUUCUGAAGCAGACGUUGUAUAUGGAAAAUUUUACUUCUCCUUGUUCCCGAUGUAUUAAAACUAUCAAUAGGCUCUUUUUAUAGUUUAACUGUCUUCUAAAGAGAUCGGAUGGCCUUUAAAAGGUCUGCAUCCCCACCAGAGGGCUGACUGGCACUGCCUUAGUUCCCCCUUCUACAGAGGAAAACACUCCUUUCUCCUUUGAAGUUUUAUAGCUUUUUAUAAAGUGCAUUCUGGUGGUAAUUCGGAGAAUCGGCCUUCUUACCAGGAUGACUACUGGACCCUGAUUCUCAAUCCCAAUGGCUUAGACUUUUCUUUCAAAAGUCAUGGUUUCCUGGAAGGUAAUUCUAUCUUAAGAUGUCAGAACCAUCUUCAGAUGCUGCCUAUGACAUUUCUUGGGAUUUUCUAAUACUCGGCAGUUCCGUGCAAAUAUUCCUGUUUUAUGGGUAGAGAACUCUUAUAUCCUGCUCUCAUAGUCUUAAUUGUUAAAUGAUUUCUAAAGCCUUCGUGUUGGCCAAGGUGUGUAGUACUUUUGCCUUUGGUGAAGAAAAUCAAAUUAAAAAAAAGAAGCAUCCCGGACAUUGCCCGUCUGUCUAACCAUCGUGACCCUCCGUGGUAACAAGGUUGUGGGUUUGAGUAAAUGCGCAGUGACAUGUGGCUGUCGGGAUCGUUCUGCGUCUGAGCGCACAUGUUGCAGACCUGAUGUCCUCUAAUGACGUGCGCCCCCCCCUUCCCGUCCUUUCUGGACAUUUCUCUACAUUCGCUUACUCUUUGCCUUGGUACACAUCGUGUGGAGCAUACACCACACUAGGCUUGAUUUGAAACUGGUGCUUGUUGUAGGCAGAUCUCUGAAGCCACGUGUAGCUCUCGGACUUGGGCGAUGGGGGAGUCGGUGCAUUUAGAGACCAGACCAUGAUGACCACGAUGCUCCCGCUGCCGGCGGCGGGGGGAGCGGGCUCAGCGGUGACGCUGUCGCCCCCCACGGGGGUUCUCCCAGCUGUGUACUUUGCUGUUCAGGUUUAUCAACUUUUUGUAUUAAUGACUGCCGAAAUGGUAAUAAAAAUGUAUACUAUAGGCUUCGAUGUUUACAUAAAUGUUACCCAAAAGUCCGUAUUGUCUUGAAUAAGAGGUCAGGAUUUAUGAAAAACAGUGCAUUUUGCAAUUGAGUGUGAAACUUCAUUAUGAUUCACAAGGUAAAUUUAAUCCAAAUGGACAUUCUGUGUCAACCGAAUUUAUAAUUAGCUGUGGGAAUUUGCUUGUUUUUAAUGGUUAUUAAUAUUUUCAUUGGGUAUCUUUUUUAAGUAAAACAAUAAAGUGUGUACAUUGAAAACUUGAA